CACCAUGUAUGUAAAUAUUGAUUUUUUUUAUUAAAAAAGAGCAACUUUUACCCAAAAUCAAGCAAAGCAGGCAGGCAGCUUGAGUUGCUCACAGAAUUAUUCAGUGAUCAAUCUAUCUGCCAUAGGCUAGCUCAGUAUGUCACAUAAAAUUUGCUUGCAAGCAAUACUCACAACAUU